UGAGGAAUAUUGGUCAAUGGACGGAAGUCUGAACCAGCCAUGCCGCGUGCAGGAUGACGGCCCUAUGGGUUGUAAACUGCUUUUGUACGAGGGUAAAAUACUUUACGUGUAGAGUUUUGAAAGUAUCGUACGAAUAAGGGUCGGCUAACUCCGUGCCAGCAGCCGCGGUAAUACGGAGGACCCGAGCGUUAUCCGGAUUUAUUGGGUUUAAAGGGUGCGUAGGCGGCUAAAUAAGUUAGCGGUGAAAGGCAGAGGCUUAACCUCUGAAUUGCCGCUAAUACUGUUUGGCUGGAGAUAAGUUGCUGUGGGCGGAAUGUGUAGUGUAGCGGUGAAAUGCUUAGAUAUUACACAGAACACCGAUUGCGAAGGCAGCUCACAAAGCUUAAUCUGACGCUGAGGCACGAAAGCGUGGGGAGCAAACA
rnacentral:rRNA from 1 species